rnacentral:sRNA from 1 species
UACGUAUUUUAAUCGGACAGACAGCGUUC